rnacentral:rRNA from 1 species
UGGGGAAUAUUGCACAAUGGGCGCAAGCCUGAUGCAGCCAUGCCGCGUGUAUGAAGAAGGCCUUCGGGUUGUAAAGUACUUUCAGCGGGGAGGAAGGCGAUAAGGUUAAUAACCUUGUCGAUUGACGUUACCCGCAGAAGAAGCACCGGCUAACUCCGUGCCAGCAGCCGCGGUAAUACGGAGGGUGCAAGCGGUAAUCGGAAUUACUGGGCGUAAAGCGCACGCAGGCUGUCUGUCAAGUCGGAUGUGAAAUCCCCGGGCUCAACCUGGGAACUGCAUUCGAAACUGGCAGGCUAGAGUCUUGUAGAGGGGGGUAGAAUUCCAGGUGUAGCGGUGAAAUGCGUAGAGAUCUGGAGGAAUACCGGUGGCGAAGGCGGCCCCCUGGACAAAGACUGACGCUCAGGUGCGAAAGCGUUGGGAGCAAACA